AGGGGGGGGGGGGGGGGGGGGGGGGGGGGGGGGGGGGGGGGGGGGGGGGGAGAAAGGGAGGGGAUAGAGGAGAGGUAUAGAGAAAGAGAAGCAGAGAAGAAAUAAAAAGGAAGAGAAAUAAAGAGCCCGACCCGGCGGCAACCUCUCCCACCGAUCGCUGAGGGGCAAAUGGCUCCUGAGGCGAUUCCCGGGGCUUAAAUCCCCUCAGCCCCGCCCCGCGCAGCCGCUCUGGGGCCCGCGCACCUGAGCCGGGCCCGCCCUUCACACCUGAGCCGGGCCCGCCCUUCACACCUGAGCCCGCCCCGCCCCGCCCCGCCCCGCCCCGCCCCGCCCGUAAAUCCCGGCGGAUCCGCGCCCGCUCCGCUUUGGACGGGGGACGCUCAUCCCGGGAUGCGGCGGGACCGGCGCUCGGAGCGCUGUGCGGGCCCUGGGCCGGGGCUGCUGCCGGUGCUGUGCGGAGCUCGCGGCGCUGAGGUGGGGCCGGGAACGGGACCCGGGCCGGGGAAUAUGGGUCCGGGUCCUGCCGGUGUCUGCUGGGGGUCCCGGGGCGAGUGGGCUGCGGGUCCUGGAGCCGCAAGACCGGGGCGGGAUUGGGGCAGGGAUCGGGACAGGAAUCGCCGCGGGGAGGCGGAGCCGCUCCGGGACGGGCGCGGACCGAGCCCGGCGCUGCCGCUCCCGCUCGGACCGCGGCCGGUGCGGGGCUGCGCUCCCGCCGGGGCUCCGGGCAGGUCCCGCCGCGGCCGCGGGGAGCCGGGGCUGUGCCGGGGCCGGGCCCGGCAGGAGGCGGCGCUUUCCCGGAGCCGGCGCUGGAUCGCGGCUGGAAGCGGGCGGGGCGCGGGGACCGCCCGGGCCGGCCCCGGGACCCCUCAGGGGCGCCGCUCCCUCAGCGCCGCCCGAGAGGGGCGCCCUCUGGCGGACACGGAGCGGCGCUGCGAGUGCGGCGGCCCCCGGUGCGCGCUCCCGCCGGGCGGCGGCCCCCGGUGCGCGCUCCCGCCGGGCGGCGGCCCCCGGUGCGCGCUCCCGCCUGCGGAACGCCCGCCGGGGCUCGGUUCUGCUCGGGCCGCUCAUCUGACACCUGCCAGGUGAGGCCUGAUGCUCUCCUUCCUCCCCCCCCCUUCCCUGUGGGUCGCACUCUGCAAUGCAAAACAACUCCGUUUAAAAAGCCAGUGAAAGUUGUUUAAAUUUUAUUUCCAGGUCUUCAGAUGUCCUGAGUAGGAAGGAACACACAAGGGGCACCAAGUUGAACCCUUAUGUUAAAGGCUCAUCUGGGCACUGAACCCACAACCUGGGCAUUUUCAGCACCCUGCUCCAACCAAGCCAGUGUCCGGUCAUGGCAAUGUCCUGCCUGAGAUGGGAAUGCCAAGUGCCAGCAAGGGAAUUCCUAUGGCAAUGCAGCUCCUUCUUUUAUGCUAAAGCUCCUUUACACACCAGCCCCUGGAAUGCCCACAGGGCAGAGCUCCAUGGCCAGCAUCUGACUGUGGAGUAACACAGGUGAACAGUUGUGUGACAGCACAAAACUCUUCCAAUAACCCUGAUUUCCUGUCCUUUCCAGCAUUUCCUUGAUGGCUGCAAAGGUCCUUGUGCCAUGUCCCUUUCCAGGGAGAAAUGAGCAAGACAAGUCCUGAGGGUUCCCUUGGUCCAUGGCCAAAGUUCUUCUGGAGAGUGCCGGGGCUGGUCCCGCCUGCAGAGGGGCGUUUCCUGCAGGUGAGUGUUCACAGCCCAAAACCUCGGUGGGGCUGAGGCCGGGGCUGCUUCUCAGGCCCAGAGCUGCACGGAGCCCUCGGGGACUCCUGCUCCCUGCCAGGAACGUUCCUCGGUGUUCCCGGUGUGUCCCAGCGGGGCGGGAACGCGGGGCGGGAGGAGGCCGAGCCCCAGGAGGGGAAGCAGCCCCUCUUGUCCUUGGCACCUGCAGGGCAGGAGCUGUGCCUCAGUGUCCUGCCCGUGGCAGGCAGCGUGCCAAACGCAGCCCGGGGAUGGGCGCUGGGGUGCCCGGGCAAGGGGGUAGAAUCCACUGAAUUCCAGGAACUCUGUCAGGUGCCCCCAGGGACAUUGGUAGAAUGAACAUUUUGAGGUAAAAAUGAGGCUAUUGGUAGUAGGCAGAUGGAAAACCUUGAGGGGAAACAUUUGGCUGGGGGAUGAGGGUUAUAAAUAACCAAUUCUAUGAAAUAGGAACUUGUCCUUGUCCACUGAGCUUCCUUGGAACCUCUGCUGCUUCCUGACACAGCUGGGAUCAGAUAGGCAGCUCUGCAUGGGAAUACCCCCACUCCAUGAGGCCAUGUGAGGUUAUUCCAGUAGGAAUUCAGCAGGGAAUACAGGGCUAUCAGUACAAUUCCUCUAAACAGCAAAGCUGAUACUGAACCCCAAAUCUGGGCACCACACAGGGAACAAUCUUUGUGCUGCCCUGCCAGCCAAAGCCCUGGGCUGGGAAAUUUCAGCAGCCAAAUUUCUUUUACAAGAAAGCAUUCUUUCUUUACUCUGGAGAUUACCACAAGGUUUACCCUAAACAUGUUCCCUACCUGUAUUGCCCCAUUUCCACCUUAAUACUUCCAUUCUUUACCCUGUGGAUGCUUUCAGUUUCUCCCCCCAGUAAUUUCCCUGCCUGUCCAUAACUGAUUACCAUGAAGUGCAUCCUCUCUGCUACAGAUCACCUGAGAUUUUACCCCUGAAAUUUUCUCUACCUCUCCACCACUGAGUAGCUCAUUUUUACCUCAAAAUAUUAAUUUUCUACCAUGGAGAUUCUCUCAAGUUUUAUCCCCAGAUUUACCCACCUGCCCACAGUGAUUCCCUCAGUUUACCUCAGGAUGCUCCUGCUCUUUCCUAGAGAUAAUCUCACAUUUUACCCCCCAGUUUUACCUACCUGUCCAAUACUGAUUAUCUCCUUUUUACCACAAAAUAUCCAUUCUUUCCUCUACAGAUUAACUCAGAUUUUAUUACCAAAAUGUCCAUUUUGUCCCCUCUUUGCCAACUAGAUUUUAAAACCAAAACCACACAGGUUAUGCCUCUUAUCCCCAAAAUGUUCAUUCUGUCCCCUACGAAUUAUGUCACAUUUUUCCCAAAACCACUUAUUCCUACAUAAUUACCUCAGGGUUACUGAUUACCUAAUUUCUACCUCAAUAUGUUCAUUCUCUGCCCUACAGAUCUUCCCAAGUUUCACCCCCAAAAUUUCCUUGCCUACACCCAGUGAUUGUUUCAGUUUGUCAGUGUUCACACUCUCCCUUGAGAUUAUCUCAAAUUUUACCGGCAAAAUCUUCCUUACCUGUCCACAAUUUAUUGCCUUGUUUUUACCCAAAAAUAUUAUUUCUGAACCCUUAGAUUAUGUCAGGUUUUGCCCCCCAAAAUUCCCCUACCUGUCCACUACUGAUUCCCUCAUUUUUCCUUUAAGUAUUACUUUCUACCUUAUAGUUUUUGUCAAGUUUUACCCCAAAAUUUUCAAUGUGUACCUAGUUUUUACUUCAAAAUGUUCACUCUACAGAUUAUUCUAAUUUUUAACCAAAAGCUUCCCCAUCUGCCCAUAACUGAUUCCCUCAUGUUACCUCAGUAUGUUCAUACUCUCCUCUAGAGAUUAGCUCAGAUUUAGCCCCCAAAUUUGCCCUACAUGCUCAGUACUCAUCACCUCAUUUUUCCCUCAAAGUGUUCAUUUACUCUUGAGAUUUUGUCAAGUUUUGCCUCCAAAAUUUUCCUUGUUUACUACUAAGUACCUCAUUUUUACUCCAAUAUAUUAAUUCUGUCCCUUACAGAUUACAUAGAGUUUUACCCCCAAAAUUUUCCACUCUUUUCUACUCCACAAAUCGGCAUUCUCUCCCCCAAACAUCACCUCAGCUUUUCCCUCAGAAAUGCCACCUUGCUCCCCUCGAUAUCCCCUCACAUUUUCCUACACAAACAGUUCAGUGUCCCCUCCCAGCUGCCCCAGGUUUUCAGCUAAAAAUGUCACCUCUGUCCCCUCUGAGUUAUCCCAGGUUUUCCCAGUUAGGAGCUGCAAGGAAUUCAGGCAGGGCAAAUGACAGCAGGGAACAGCUGUAAAUUCAAAGGCAGAAAGAGAAGAUCUACCAGCAAAGGGGGAAGGUUUCAGAAAACAUUUCUGCAACUAAUAACUAAUAAUUAUUCAUUCCCCAGUGAGAAGAACACAAACUCACAACCAUUAAGGCCUGGCAGUUCCCUGCAGUGAGAGCUCAGCACACAUCCAGAGGCAAUUCCAGCAUCUGAAAGGAAGAAGAAAAAGGGACUGUUUCAUCAACCUCUGAAGCUGACAAGCCCAAAAGCUCUGGAGUCUGUCUGCUCUGGAGCACAAGGAUACUCCCAGGGAUGAGGCACAUUCCCAGCAAACGCUCCCAACACGGCACAGAGGCACCACUGGAGCUCGUGUUGGGGCUGGGAAGGGCUGCCAGGAGGACACAGCCCCCAGCUGGGGUGGCAGGGGCAGUGACAGCAGCAAAUUCCACAGGCUGAUGGCACAACAGAGGGACAAAGACCAGCAAUGCCCACGGCAGCUGCAGGUUUCAUUGUGCUCCCUGUGCUGCCACAUCCCGGCAGGAAAUCUCCAGGGGGGACAGAAACUCCCUGGGUGCACAAAGUGCAGCCUCUGUGCCCCUGAUCCUGCUGGAACUCAGCUGUGGGGCCAGCCCCCAGGGUAAACACUGCCCUGCCUGCAGCAGCCUCAGGCACUGCCCCAUUCUCAGCUCCCCCUGCCCCGGGGCUGCCACCACAUUCCUGACCAGGAGCCAAAGGCCACACCUGCACUGGCACAGGCUCAUCCCUCCAGCCAGCUCCUCUCGUGGCUCCAAAUCCUCCCAAACCUCCCCAUCCGUGCUUUGGCCAGUGCCUGCCCCGAGGCUGUCGCCCAGCCCUGCAGCAUCACACCUGCAAUCCAGGAAGCUUUAAUGCUGGAGUCUGCUGUGCUUCAGUGUUAUUUUCAGGAAGUAACAAACCCACCACAGUGCAAGGGGAAAAAAAGUGAUUUAAGUAAUGUUUUACUCACGCACUCCUCACUUUACCCCUCACAACCACCCCAGCAUGAAACAGACAUUCAGGAAUUAGUGUUCAGUAGCUGCCUUUGGAAUUUUAAGGGAUAUCAACAAAGCCUUGACAGAUAUGUGGGGAAUUCCACAGCACGUUUUCCUUCCCCAUCUGUGUCAGCAUCCAGCACAGUUCCCUGUUCCUGUUUGGUCCCCAGGAGCUGCAAGAGGAAUGUCAGUCGUUGGCUUCGGUCGUUAGUCCAGGAGAUAAUUAAUUCGAAGAUAAUUAAUCUGGUCAGUGGCAGAAGAUCAUCACAGCGAAACAGCAUCUUUGCCACAGGAUAUUUCCACCCCUGUUCUCUGAUCAAGAACUACUUCCCAAACUCAGUGAUUCCAUCUAAACCACAGCAGCACAGUUUGGAAGGACAGAAGUUUUCAGCCUUGUGUGAAGAAAGACAGAAACAUCACUGGGAGAAAAUCCUGACAUUUAAAAUCCUAUUCCUCACUUCUUUGACUAAUCAACCUCUUAACAUCCAGUAUGGAUUGUGCAGAGAAGUUCCUUGGUCCCACCUGGAAACUGAUCUCCCCAAAACAUCCACAAAAGCCAUCAAACAGUUAUUACAACUGAUUCCAUUAAUUACUAUGGAAAAGACAAUACAAAUAAACUGGAAAAAAAUUUG